rnacentral:rRNA from 1 species
GACGAACGCUGGCGGCGUGCCUAAUACAUGCAAGUAGAACGCACAGUUUAUACCGUAGCUUGCUACACCAUAAACUGUGAGUUGCGAACGGGUGAGUAACGCGUAGGUAACCUGCCUGGUAGCGGGGGAUAACUAUUGGAAACGAUAGCUAAUACCGCAUAAUAUUAAUUAUUGCAUGAUAAUUGAUUGAAAGAUGCAAUUGCAUCACUACCAGAUGGACCUGCGUUGUAUUAGCUAGUAGGUGAGGUAACGGCUCACCUAGGCGACGAUACAUAGCCGACCUGGGAGGGUGAGCGGCCACACUGGGACUGAGACACGGCCCAGACUCCUACGGGAGGCAGCAGUAGGGAAUCUUCGGCAAUGGACGAAAGUCUGACCGAGCAACGCCGCGUGAGUGAAGAAGGUUUUCGGAUCGUAAAGCUCUGUUGUAAGAGAAGAACGGGUGUGAGAGUGGAAAGUUCACACUGUGACGGUAUCUUACCAGAAAGGGACGGCUAACUACGUG